rnacentral:rRNA from 1 species
UACGAAGGGGGCUAGCGUUGCUCGGAAUCACUGGGCGUAAAGCGCACGUAGGCGGAUUGCUAAGUCAGGGGUGAAAUCCUGGAGCUCAACUCCAGAACUGCCUUUGAUACUGGUGAUCUUGAGUCCGGGGAGAGGUGAGUGGAACUGCGAGUGUAGAGGUGAAAUUCGUAGAUAUUCGCAAGAACACCAGUGGCGAAGGCGGCUCACUGGCCCGGUACUGACGCUGAGGUGCGAAAGCGUGGGGAGCAACAGG